rnacentral:lncRNA from 1 species
UGAAUGGCCGCUUGGUCGUGCUGGUCGACGAGGUGGACUGGCCGUUACCGGAGGAGACGACUGUGUAUGUUCGGUUGACUGGAGUGAGGGGUCAUUGGGUGAGCUCGUUCAUGGAGCUGAAGAAGAAAAUGAACGGGGGCUGUUUGGUUGUUCAUGGCGACGUGGGUGGUUGCUUGGAGUUCGUUUGGAUUUGGUCGUUUGGGUACGUUCUGGGGCUGGUCGUUUGGUUGAGAAGAAGAAUGUAGGGGGUAGUGGGAUGGUCGUUAGCAUGGAUGACGGUGGGGAAAACGUUUGGAGGGUGGUGGGGUGUGAGGAAGAAGAGAAGAGAGGGGAAGGGCAGCCAGGGCUUUGGGUGUUUUUAGGGUUAGGGAGGGUGGUUUGGAGAAGAUGAGUAGAAGGAGGGUGAGUGCUUAAG